UACGGAGGGUGCGAGCGUUAAUCGGAAUUACUGGGCGUAAAGCGCGCGUAGGCGGCGUGGUAAGCCGGUUGUGAAAGCCCCGGGCUCAACCUGGGAACGGCAUUUGGUACUGUUAGGCUAGAGUGCGGGAGAGGAAGGUAGAAUUCCCGGUGUAGCGGUGAAAUGCGUAGAGAUCGGGAGGAAUACCGGUGGCGAAGGCGGCCUUCUAGACUGACACUGACGCUGAGGUGCGAAAGCGUGGGUAGCAAACAGG
rnacentral:misc_RNA from 1 species